rnacentral:lncRNA from 1 species
AUGUGAGCUGAAACAAGUCACUCAGUUCCGUAAGGUUUUUCGGUCAGGUUCAUUGCCCGUGGUAUUAUAUGAAGUUGACUAAUUCACCAGGCUGUAUACUUGCUAUCCACUCAGCACUGAAGAAUUGCCGUAAGGGGCCACUACUACACACUACCACUGUGGAUCUCUGGCAGUUAAUUGCACCAGGCUUCCAGAAGAAGGAAUGGCCUAGAUUAAAGGCAUACAAGAUCUGGAUUAAAGGUGCGAGUCAUACAGCUUCAAGAUCCUGAUCAAAAUCAUGUGUCACCCUACCUCAAGAUCCAGUCUUGCCUGUGUCUUUGACCCUCAAGAUCUGGAUCAAAGGCAUGCUAUCUUCUUGCCGCGGGAUCUGGAUCACAGAUGGACAUUUGUAGAAAUAAGUCACGAGAAGAUGCAAGGAUGAUGUGGGAGAAAAACUCUGACCCCAACCUGGAGAAUAAUCUAAGCAGCAGAGUAGGAAGCCAACACUGAGGGGAACAAGAGAACAAUCUGUGGAGAGAAGAGCUGGGUAAUGAGAACGCAGGAACAGGAAACCCCAGGAUUCCACAGAAAUCCACCUGCCUAAGAGCUUACUUCAGCCCGCUUCUCUUGCUUAUUCUUCAACUCAGGAAUAUUUGGUUUUUCAGUUACUAUGGAGGCAUGAAAAAAAGUGAACAUCCUGAUACAAAAUAAAAAAUAACUUACUUAAAUGGGAAGAAGAUGAGAAAAAUCAUAUUUGCUUUUUAUUAUAAACUAUAAUUUUUCACG